rnacentral:rRNA from 1 species
AUUGAACGCUGGCGGCAUGCUUUACACAUGCAAGUCGAACGGUAACAGGCCGCAAGGUGCUGACGAGUGGCGGACGGGUGAGUAAUGCAUCGGAACGUGCCCAGUCGUGGGGGAUAACUACUCGAAAGAGUAGCUAAUACCGCAUACGAUCUAUGGAUGAAAGCGGGGGACCGUAAGGCCUCGCGCGAUUGGAGCGGCCGAUGUCAGAUUAGGUAGUUGGUGGGGUAAAGGCGCACCAAGCCAACGAUCUGUAGCUGGUCUGAGAGGACCACCAGCCACACUGGGACUGAGACACGGCCCAGACUCCUACGGGAGGCAGCAGUGGGGAAUUUUGGACAAUGGGCGCAAGCCUGAUCCAGCAAUGCCGCGUGCAGGAAGAAGGCCUUCGGGUUGUAAACUGCUUUUGUACGGAACGAAACGGCUCUGGUUAAUACCCGGGGCUAAUGACGGUACCGUAAGAAUAAGCACCGGCUAACUACGUG